UCACACGCUUGAAUAAUAACGGCAAUUUAAAAAAAUAUCGCUCUUGACGUAUUGUUUAGUAUAUGCGCGCACCGCUUUUCCAACUGAGGGCUAGUUUGACCAAGCGUUUCGGAGUGAGGGCUGGCUUGACCGCGGUAUGCAGGCGCAGUACCGAUCCCGAUAGAUCUGGACAGAUACAUCAAAAGCCCUCCUGCAAGGUGAGGUGUCACCAGUGUUUAGGCUGAAGAAAAGAAGGGUGGAUGACAUUACUAUGGAAGAAGAGCAGCAAGCUGAGGUUUCAGUCAGACCUGCUGAUGUGAGCACACCAGUGGAAGUGGACUCGGUUGAAGUGCGUAUUCUGUAUGAUUGCAGACAUGCAGCAGAGUGGGUUGAGGCCAAUAAGACACUCUUCUCUGCCAGAGUGGACCUGCCUGAAGUUCUAUACAUGGGGGAGGAGGAACAGGCUGAGGCUGCUCUGCAGUAUAAAAGACUGUGGCAAGAAGACAUGGAUGAGCAGGAAAGGGAAGAAAUCCUUGAGGUCUUCAAAUUCACAUUCUACAACAUUGAGGACAUGUGGAAAUUUUGUGACAUAGUAGUGGACGAAAACAAUUAUUUGGCAUAUUGUGAAUGUCACAAAGAUGAAUAAUUGAAGGAUAACAGAACAUUUGAUCAUGUUGUGACUUUGUGUGUUCAUGUUUUGUUUUCUCAUUGAGCACUUAAUAAUUCACUUGAACUACACUGUAGAUCUUAAGAGUUUGGGUAGUAGUUGGUGGUAUUUAGGUGCUCCAACAGCACAAGGACAUAAUUAGCAUAGACAAAAGAUCCUCGCUUUAUAGGCUACAAAUAGACACUUGAGCCCCAAGUCACCCACGUUUAUGUUUUCUGUAAUGACCUAAGCUGUAAUAUUACACAAAACAGUGUAUAUUGCUCUAUGUACAUGGCAAUCAUGAAUGAGAAGUGUUUUGAAAAAGAGAAAUGCUAAUGCUUCACUUGUCCAAAUAAAAAGAACCAGAAAAGCA